rnacentral:rRNA from 1 species
CCUACGGGUGGCAGCAGUGGGGAAUAUUGGACAAUGGGGGCAACCCUGAUCCAGCCAUGCCGCGUGUGUGAAGAAGGCCCUCGGGUUGUAAAGCACUUUCAGUGAGGAAGAACGCCUGGUGGUUAAUACCCAUCAGGAAAGACAUCACUCACAGAAGAAGCACCGGCUAACUCCGUGCCAGCAGCCGCGGUAAUACGGAGGGUGCGAGCGUUAAUCGGAAUUACUGGGCGUAAAGCGCGCGUAGGUGGCUUGAUAAGCCGGUUGUGAAAGCCCCGGGCUCAACCUGGGAACGGCAUCCGGAACUGUCAAGCUAGAGUGCAGGAGAGGAAGGUAGAAUUCCCGGUGUAGCGGUGAAAUGCGUAGAGAUCGGGAGGAAUACCAGUGGCGAAGGCGGCCUUCUGGACUGACACUGACACUGAGGUGCGAAAGCGUGGGUAGCAAACAGGAUUAGAUAUCCCUGUAGUC